rnacentral:rRNA from 1 species
GACGAACCGAGCGAACGUUGUUCGGAAUCACUGGGCUUAAAGGGCGCGUAGGUGGGCUGUCAAGUCUGGGGUGAAAUCCCGCGGCUCAACCGUGGAACUGCCUCAGAUACUGACGGCCUCGAGGGAGGUAGGGGCGAGCGGAACUGUGAGUGGAGCGGUGAAAUGCGUUGAUAUUCACAGGAACUCCGGUGGCGAAGGCGGCUCGCUGGACCUUUUCUGACGCUGAGGCGCGAAAGCGAGGGGAGCAAACGGG